UCUGUGUUCCUCUUUAUUGUAUUUAUAUCAUCGGUUUUAUUUCUCAUACUAUAUAAAUAAUAUUAUAUUGGUUUUUGACAAUUUUCCUAACAUAAUAACAGGCAAAUUAAAAAUAUAAAGGAGUCAUGUCGGCAAAAGGUAACCGAAAAAACUACACAGCAAGGAGCAAUUGUGCAGCAGCAUAAGGUAGGAAAAAAUAAGUCAAAGACGGGAUAUUACAUAUGAUAAACUUUACACAUUAUAUAAGUUACCUGAUAUUGUUAGGAUACUGAAGUCUAGGCAGCUACAAUGAAUAGGUCAUUUCAGUAGGAUAGGGAAGACUGAACAUGCAUACAGAAUUUUGGUGAGGAAACCUUGUAGAAAAUGGUCAGUUGAAUGAUGGGAAGGAAGAGAGGAAGAUAGCAUUAAGACAGAUAAAUCUUAGGGAACUAUACUUCGAGCAAGGAGAUGGGUGGGAGUGAUUCGUGAUUGUACUUUAGUAUUAGUAGUGUUAAACUUCUGGUUUUGAUGACCAGAGAGCUAGUGAGAAACUUGGCUUGUAUGAGUUCUAACAAGCAUGAUAAGUGCAUGUCGUUCAAUUCCAGUGAUCCUGCAAUCUCAAACAUUCCACACCGUGUAGAGCUGGUAAAAAUCUUCCCACCAGCAUAAUGUGAGCACAAGAUAAACUGGAUCCUAGCAUCUAACAAAUUUCAACUUUCCAUAAAGUUUCUCGCAUUCAGACCUUUCACACACAAUGUGCUUCAUAGUUUGGUACUCUACUAUGCCAGAGUUCUAUUUAAGGAUGAGGUUAACACAGUAAUAAUAUGCCUGACCCUUGUUUCGGAGUAACCUGAUUUUAAACCUUAUCACCAACUAUGACACAACAGUAAACAAACUGAAAGAUUAAAGUAAAAUAUUCAUUAAUAGUCACUACCUUAAAAAUUCAUUCUACAUCUAAAGUAGCAAAUUAAUAUUAAUCUGAACAAAUAAAAUAAUUUAAAAUAUUUGUUGCUACAGAAAUUGACAUAUACAUGCAACAUUAAGGUAGCAAACUUUUUUUGUCAUAUCAUGUCUUGUGUGUGAAAAGACUCAAGUUUCUAGCCCAUAUAAUAGCGUCCUAGUAACAUUUCAAUCUGUGGGUUUUAGAUGGCUGCAAAAUGGUCAAUGAGUCUGAACUUACAAUAGCAAGCCUCCCAAAAAUUAAUUUCCUAUUACUUUUUUAAUCCAAUUUUGAUCUGUUUAUGCUGUCCAAAAAUAUUUAAACCAUGAUAAAAUUUCAUGGUGUGCAUUGUCUGCCUAUAUUAAGAGUCUGUUUGCAUUCUUUUGAGAAAACAUGAAUGCAUACAAAUUUUCUCUUCUCUUGUAGAAAUCUGGGUUUUUCCAUACGGUAUUUUUGUUCCUACUAACCAACCAACCCACCCACCCACCAACUGACUGACCGACCAACCAACAAGCCAGCCAACCAUCCACCCAGCCAACUGACCGACCGACCAACCAACGAGCCAGCCAGCCAACCAUCCACCCAGCCAACUGACCGACCAACCGACCUGAUGGCUUAGGGAACCUGAAGAUUUGUGCUGGGCCAGCAAAAUCCAAUGGAUUCCAACUCCCAUUUCCCACAAUUUUUUUACAGUGAAACGUUGUUUCCCUCAUACUCAAUCCCCAAGCUGUCAGCUGCUGGUGACUGCUUAUUCAAUAUAUUCGCAGUUAACCUCCAUAAUUGGAGGCUGUUCCUCCAUCUGCAGCCUGAGGACACCAUGCCACAGUGACAGGUUUUUUGUUCCUACACAGUAAAUUAAUCUCACCAAUAAGGAUCAGAAAGUGAUGUUGAUAUUCAGUUUUAAUUUCUCCUGAUUUUCUGAGGCAUUACUUCUGGCAUAAAGAAAAGUUUUGCAAUGGCAGUAAGGUUUAUAUUUUCAGACCACUCUGAAUAGGAAACACAGACAAAUGUUUAUCUGUAUGGACUUUACUGUAAGUUUUUUAAACACAUUUUAAUUAGUACACCUAGGUAGGAUUUGAGGGUCUCAUAACAGUGAGUACAAAGAUGGUUGUCUUCUGGGUUGUAGCACCAUGUAGUCUGGUAGAAGCUUAACAAAUAUUCAGAGGUCCCUGCUGUUCCAUCAUCAGGACAGUGACUCAUGAUCUCCGAAAUGUUGGUAAAUUUCUUCUAGACUGUACAGAUCUACAAUCCAGAACACAGCCAUCUUCAUUAGCCCAACUAGUUUCAUGUAUGUACUAAAUUAAGUGAGAAUGUUACACAACUCUUUUCUUCUUAUAGAAAUGUUUCAAAGUAGAUGAGGUACAAUCCAAUUGUACUCUUAGUUUUUGCCCAUUAUCUGGUGAUAUGACUUAUUCAUUUUUGUAUUAUCUGCUGUAUAUAAAAAACUGGUUUCAUCUCUACUGUAAGCUGUAUUAAGGUGAUGAGUAAAGCGUGCCUUUUGGUCAGAAUCUAUACCUGGAAGCAUAAACCACAAUGAUACAUAUGACUUGCAUUACAAGAGCUUUGUUUCAUUGAACUUUUUAAUGUAAAACCUGAUUCUUUGACUUUUGCUGAAUGCUUGUCCACAGGUAAAACACCCAAGUUCACCACUAUUCUCAUACUUGACAACUCAAUAUUGUAACAGUCUGGCAUUGAAACAACUUUGUAAAACCAUCACUGAAGUUUUUCAGCACCACCAAUAUGUGGACAGGAUCACUGUUUCAUUGUUUGGAUUUCUGGAUCAUCUGUUCAGUUCAAGCUGUAUUCUGUCUGUGUCAGAAAAAUUGCAGUCAACAUUUACAUCUGACAUACUGCAGCGUAUGAAGAUUUAGAUUGAUCUUAUGACCCAAAUCCCAGCAGCCACAGAACUGAAACUGCCCAACCUGGUUGCCAUGGACAUGUCUGAUCUACUAAAUGAGCUAGACUCAUUUGACCAAAUCAUGUACAAAAAAGAAACCAGCACUCUUGACAUGUCUGCAGCUGAAAUAGACCAGUAUUGUUGAGCAAAUCCCCACCACCUGAAUUGCUGUUUAAAGAUGUGAGCAGUACAAUUUUAUGAAGGAACAAAGAAACACAGCAAUCAAUGUCAUGUUUAUGUUUGUUUCCUUGUUAAUAAUCUUUUAGUAUGUUUAUUUGUAUGAAUAUUUUUGGUUAUUUGAAAAUUGUAAUGUAAAAGUUGCAUUUGUGAAAUUGAAACAUGGGAUAAAUGGCUAAUUAAAUAAAAUACAAAACAAUAAA